rnacentral:rRNA from 1 species
AUUGAACGCUGGCGGCAUGCCUUACACAUGCAAGUCGAGCGGCAGCACGGGAGCAAUCCUGGUGGCGAGUGGCGAACGGGUGAGUAAAGUAUCGGAACGUGCCCAGUCGUGGGGGAUAACGUAGCGAAAGUUACGCUAAUACCGCAUACAAUCUAUGGAUGAAAGCGGGGGAUCGCAAGACCUCGCGCGAUUGGAGCGGCCGAUAUCAGAUUAGGUAGUUGGUGGGGUAAAGGCUCACCAAGCCGACGAUCUGUAGCUGGUCUGAGAGGACGACCAGCCACACUGGGACUGAGACACGGCCCAGAGGCCUACGGGAGGCAGCAGUGGGGAAUUUUGGACAAUGGGCGAAAGCCUGAUUCAGCCAUGCCGCGUGCUGGAUGAAGGCCUUCGGGUUGUAAACUGCUUUUGUACGGAACGAAAAGGUUUGGCCUAAUAAGCUGAGCUCAUGACGGUACCGUAAGAAUAAGCACCGGCUAACUACGUGCCAGCCGCCGCGGUAAAAC